AAUUUUGUACCAAAUGUAUACUUUUGUAUAUACAUAUAUAUAUCUAUUUAAUUUUUUUGUUAACAGGCAACACAAAAAGGGAGGAUUGGAAUUAUCUUGGAUUUUAAUUGGUAUGAACCUUAUUCCAAUUCGACGGCUGACAAACUAGCAGCUCAAAGAGCAAGAGACUUUCAUCUUGGAUGGUAAUCAUGGAGAUUAAUAAUCACAAACUUGAGUUAAAACAUAAUAGUGCAUGGCUUAGUAUUAAAUUGAAUGAGACUCUCUGCAGGUUUCUUCAUCCAAUCGUAUAUGGAGAGUACCCUGCUACAAUGCAAGAAAACGUUGGGAAAAGGCUUCCAAAAUUUACUGAUUCAGAGGUUAAAAUGGUUAAGGGAUCAAUGGAUUUUUUGGGUAUAAACCAUUAUACUGCUUACUUUGUGCACUAUCCGCAUCAGAAACCUCCGGCAGACACAAGCUACCAGAUGGACUGGAAUGCUGAAGUUGUUAGUAAGUUUCUGUACUACCUUGUUAUGCAGAGGUGUUGCAGUUAUUGUUUAAAAUUAUUUGUGUUGCUUUACAAUAAAACUAACAAUUUAUUACGAAUGUUCUGUACAGCUGAACGCGACGGGAAACCAGUUGGAGAAUCGGUAAGUGAAAUAAGGUGUUUUAUUACUUAAAUUUCCGAGUAAUUAAGGAUUCUCAAUUAUUUAUUUCUUCUCCAUUUAGCUCUUUGCAUGGUGUGAGACUGAGUUAAUUUGCUGUACGUGAUCCUUUUACUAUAGUUGACAAGCUAAGCAUUUGCAGGCAAAUUCUGACUGGCUUUUCAUUGUACCCUGGGGAAUGUACAAAAUAGUGAUCUAUAUAAAAGAUCAUUACCAGAAUCCAACAAUGAUGAUAACGGAAAAUGGUAAUAGCCACAAAUUAACUAUAUCUGAAUGAAUAAGGCUUAUGGUCUUUCUUAUGACAAAUCAAUUAUAUAAUAACUAUUCAAACCUUCAUGGUUUUGCAGGCAUGGAUGAUCCUGGUAAUGUAACAAUUCCGAAGGCAUUGCAUGACACCAAGAGAAUCAAUUACUACAAGAGCUAUUUGAACUACCUCAAGAAAGCUAUGCAUGAUGGAGCCAAAGUAACCCAUUACUUUGCAUGGUCAUUGCUCGACAACUUCGAAUGGAGAGCAGGGUACACAUCAAGAUUUGGAAUCGUCUACGUUGACUUCAAUAGCCUCAAGAGAUACCCUAAGAUGUCUGCCUACUGGUUCAAAACAUUACUUGCUAGAAAGAAGGCUUGAAUGUUGGACGUAUAGUCCAUAUGUAAUUUCACUUUCUGGUGUGUUUAAGUUAUGGUGAUCUUGAAAUAAAUGAUAAUAAGGCUUAAGGUGGCUCGUCGGGUGGCCUUCUGUGCACUGCUCUGGGAAGGGUCAAUACUCAUCAGUGUAUCAGUGUAUAUCAGUGUAACAUUUUGGGAAUUAAUGAAAUAUUAUUUAUUCAGUUCUAUCUAUUACAUCCGCCUCCGUACAUACGGUUGCCAAAUAAUCAGUCGAUCGUUUAAUUUGUUUCUCGAAAUAUACAUGGAGUAAAUUUUACAUCUAUGUACGGAGGCGGAUGUAAUAUUUGGCAAGAUCACCAUGAGUAAAUUCUACAUCUGUGUUCGGAGGCGGAUGUAAUAAAAUUCUACAUCUGUUAGAAUUUUACAUCUUUUUGUUGCCAAAUAUGUUGAGGCACAAGGUACCUCCCAACAAACAACGGAAGUGUCUAACCAACCAAUGUGUAUGAAAGUGAUGCAAACAAACCAACGUAAGUAGUAAAACAAUUAAACCUAUUUACCAACAAACAAACGUAAAGAGAGACACCAAUUUUAACGUGGUUCGGCGAUUACCUACGUCCACCAACCAAAGAGGAGAGCUUCUUAUUAACAAACCAACAAAGAUACAACGUAUCUAACCAAUGGAGAAAAUCUCCGAAACAAAUCUCUCACUCACCAAGCAAAUCUCUAUCUACCAGACCCACCCCUAACUGUAAUUAAAAAUCAGAAUAUUUAGAGGCAAGAAAAGGCCUUAAAAAAUGGCCCAAAAAAAGGCACAAGAACCCUCCAACAAGGACUUAAUUUGUGAAAAAACAAAAAAGAGCCCCAAACCUAAAGUUAGCUUCUAGAACCACCAAAAGCAAAUAUACCUUCAUCAAUAGGUGGUUGGGAGGUGGUGUGCUGCUCAAGAAGAAAAAAAAAUGCUGGCUUGAUUGUAUUGGAGCCCAAGGAAAAUUCAAAAUAAUGGCUUUUUUUUUCCUUCUUCUUCUUCUCCUUCUUCUAUGAACUUUGAUAGUGACUCCUUCGACGAAACCACUGUUCAGAGAUUGAUGUGGUACAACUUGUAAACCUCAAAUAGUGCAAUAAUCCCCAAGUAGUGUAAUAAUCUAAUAGACAAUAAUGGAGGUAAAUAAACUAACUAUGAAAAACAAUAAAGAACACAGUUGUUUUACGUGGUAAAACCCAAUUACUGGGAAACACCCAUGAUCGUCCUCAUGACGAUAAAUAAUUCACUUUAUGAAAUAGAAAAGUACACUCACUAAUACACUCACAGAUUAACCCAAUCACAAAAGUUAAUAGUUGUAGUGCUCCGCGUAGUCUUAUAUCUGUGCAAUCAUUGCAACACCUUCCCAGACUCACUCUGAGAAGAACUCCUUGUAGUUGUUGUUGGAAUGGACAAGAUGAAGGUUUCCUUUGCUUCACACAGGAGGUUAUAGAGAUAACGGAAAACCUUAGGUUUCUUUAUUCUAGAGAAACCCUAAUAUAAUUCCAUGUCUAGCCUUGAUUCCAUGUCGGCCCAUUACUACACAUGGGCUUGAAUCACUCAAGCUCCACUAAUCCCACGAAUUGUGUCAACCUUGUUAUCUCCACCAAUGCUGUGACAAAUACGAUCCAUAAUUAUUUUCCACUCCUCCAGAGAGUGAGGCGCCAAGAUUUGGAACGCUUUGAUGAGUGGCUUAGGACUGAUGUUGGUCAACCAUUGAGAGAUCUCUGUACUCCAUGGUGCUUUUAUGGAUGAUACACUAUUAGGACUUGUGAAGCCUGUCAAACUGCAUCUACAACCUGUAGAAGGAAAAAGCUUUUAGGUCACAAAGAGUUGAUACUAAUUAAAAAGCAGGCUAAGAACAAAAUGAAGAAAUAGGGGCCGAAGAUGUUCAUAGUAAGGAUUCUACCAUAAUCUGGCCUAGUUACAAGUAUGUUCUCAAAGUUACUAUAUUGUUGGGGUUGACAACACUCACCUCUCAGGUCUUGUUGAUUAUCUCUUUUACCCAUUAAAAUCUCAUAUGCGACACCUGAUAAAGAUAAGAGGAUGCAAUUGAAUAAGAACAAAAUUAUAACUUCAUCAAAUUCACGUACAUAUAUAUUUUCAUUCUUUAUACGUCCACUUGAAUUUAUAGUGUCCCGUUGGACGAGUUGCUAGCCCUCUAGCAAUACCAGUAAUGUUCCUUCUUUUCCUGGGCACUUGUAUACAGAAUAACUAAUAAAUUUUGGUUUCGUUUUGUAUGUGGUUCAUGUGGUCCCAAUCACAUCACGCUACGUGUUAACAAAAAUAUAACCAAUAUUUUUUGAUUUUUAUCUCUUAAUGUUUCUGUAAAAUAUUGGCCGAUGUUUUCGAUAUUUACUGAUAUUUUCCGAUAUUUUUUUGAAAAUAUUAUUUUUUGCAAUUUGUUUUUUGAAAAUUAUUUUUUUAUUCUAUUUUUAGUAGAUAUGAUGUUUUUUAGGUAAAUACUAUGAUAAUAUAUUUUUAAAUUUGAUUUUAUAUAUAUUUUGCAUAACAAUUGAUAUACAUUUGAUGUAUAAUAUCCACCGAUAGAUUCCAAAUUUCCAAUAUAUGCCGAUAUAUCUAUUUUUUGGAGAUUGAUAUCGAUACCGAUAUUUUGUACUAUGGGUACAUCCAUAUAAAUCUUAUCUUUAUGGACUGCAUUCCUGUGAUCUUAUCUUUCUUGCACAUGUGCUGUAUUGAUGAAAUACUUAAGAGGAUAUUGCUAGAGGUUUGGUAGAGGUUAUUGAUCAUGCACUCACAUACACUAUGAAUAUGCACCGCGUAUGCGUAUGAAAAAAACGGCCAACAAUUAGAAAACGACCUGCUUAUAUUUAUGACCAACAAAAUAACGGAAAAACAACCUUCUUUUAAAUAUUUAUUUGGGUUUAUGACUAUAAUAUAAAAAAUAAAAUAAUUUUAUUUUUUACAAGUUAUUAUUAUUAUUUUUCACAAAAUCUGUAGAUUAUUUUAUACUUAUAAGAAUAUAGUAGGUUUCACUUUUUGAAAUUAUCUUAUUACUCUUUUUGUUAUUGUAGUAAGACAAGUGCCUUAGCCGAUGCUACGCACGGGUUAAUUUUAAUUUAUCUGUGUCUGAUUACCAUUCGAGUUUUAAGUUAUUAAUUUUAAUAAAUAUUACAAAUUAUAUUAAUUUAUUAAAUCUUAUAAAAUAAUUAUUUCUUAAGAUUUUUAUUAUAUUUUGUUAAUUUAAUUAUUUUGCAUUAGCCAUCUGGACACAUAGACCUACUAGGAAUAUUUGAAAGUUUUGCAUUAUUGGAGAGCUGCCUUUCAUGCAUUUAAAACAAUGCAUGAAAUCAAUCCAAUAUUAUUUCUGUUUGCAAUCAGUGUUGCUGCAACCAGCCAACCACUUACAGCUCAUUAUGUAUAUAUCCACAUAUGGACCACAUUAUCUUAUGGCAAACAGAAAUAAUAAAUCCCUACAUCAAAUGUUAGCAAUAAUGAUUUCAAAGGAGAAUCUCUUAUUGAUGCUAAAGUAAUAAAGCACUAAUUUAUAAAAUAUAAAACAAAACAAAAACAUAGAGUAUGAUUUUGCAUGGACUGAUAUAAAUUUAUUUGUAUGUUAUUAUGUUUCUCCACUUUUACUGCUGUUGCAUUGUGACAAACAAAAAAAAAAGGCUCCAAUCAAUGAAUACGAUGAUGACAGCGGGUUCCAAUGAAUCUGUAUUUCGUAGGAUUGGUUUUGCUAUUAAUAAAGACUUGCAACGCAGUUUACAGUGCGUUUAUCCUUUAACUUUAUGUAAUUACUUGAAUUUUUAUCAAUAAAAUUAGAAAUAAUAAAAUUAGUUUUAAUUUUAAUUUUUUUCAACUACAACCAUUUCAAGCUUCCAUAUUAUCUAUACCUUCCUUAGGUCACUAACAUAUAAGCCUUGAUGAUUGACUCUAUUAACUAGCUCAUAGGCAGAGGCGGCUCUACAGUUUAGACAGAAUAGGCAGGUGCCUAGGGCCCCACUUCUCUCGAGGCCCCAUUUUGUGGAAUUCUACAUAGUUUUCUUUCAUAUUUUGCUAUUCUUCAUGUUUUUCGGGAUUUUUUUUCCUAUUUGAAGGGGUUUUUUUUUUAAAAAAAAAAUCUCUUUCCUAAUUUUUAGGUGUUUUAUUGUUGUGCUUCAUUAAAUGCAAUCAAAUAUCUUUAUUAGAUCGAUUAGUGGGUAGUGGGUCUGCAUUUAAUAAAAUAAAAAGCAUUAGUAAUUGUUAUUUGACAAAUUUUUAUUAUUAAUAUUUUAAAUUACAAAUUGCCUCAGCUUUCAGAUGCUUAGGGCCUCCAAUUUGCUUGAGCCGGCCCUGCUCAUAGGUGCCCUUAAACAUGCAAUUGUUUUUUAUCCAACUUGUGAGGACUAUUUUCAAUUAUAGCUCUUUGAUAUUUAUCAUGUUUCUUCUUAGUCACCUUGUUGCGGAUAAAAGUGUAGGGUAUUAUAUUAAAAGCCUCGUGAAAAAUCAAAAGCUCCUAAUACCUAAUAAUACACUUUAUUCAUUAUAUUGUUUUAUUAUUGUUAAUUUUUGUUUUAUAUUGACGAUAUUUAGGGAUAUAUUAAGCGUUAGGUUUUUAUAAGUCAUAUACUCCAUUCAAUUAAUUGAUUAUUGCAAUGUCUAAUUGGCAAUAAAAAUUGCUAACUGAAAUAGUUUUAUUGUUUUUAGUUAAUUUUGCAAAAGUUUAUCAUUUUUUUUGUUGAUUAUUACAAUUUUUCGAUCAUUACAUUGUAUAUUAUUAUUAAUUUCUCUUUUUUAGUGUUGUAGUGGCUACAUUUUUUUUGGUCGCUUCGGACCAAAAAAAUGUUAGGGUCGGCCCUGACUAAAAUGUAUAAUGCAGUGAACUCUAGUGGGAUUUAAACAAGUUAAAUUAAUUUUAUAUCGUUCCUACAGAUAGAUUCCACGGGACAAAAUCACAAUAGUUUAAUUUUUUGUGAGGAGGUGUUGCUCACUUGAUGCGAUCCUUAAUUCCUUAUUACAGUAUAACCUUAUAAAUUAAUAGCGUUGAGACCACCAAAAUCUAUUAAUUUAACACAAUGCUUAUUAAUUGAUAAAUUAAUAAUCUAUUAAUUUAACAUAGUAUUGAUAAAUAAUCAGUUUUAUUCUAAGUGUAAUUAGUAAUUUUUAUUUGAAAGGGACAGAGCAUUAGCAACCAGCUGCCGACUUCAAUUUUUUUCAGAAUUAAUCAGAACAUGUGAAGUCAAGAAUUCAUAUCCAAUAUUGGUCUGGUCCUACUAUUGGAGAUGAAAAUUUUGGUGGUGAGCCACAUAUAUUUUGAAUUUCAUGUCUUUUUAACAUGGCUUUUUUAUUUAUUUAUUUAUUUUAAACAAACGAGGUUGAGGGGACCUUUUAAAUUCUGUGAGGAAACUUUUUAUCAAACAAUCAACUGCUGAUGUGUUUCGAACCCACACCCUCUCCAUUUAGUGAGAGGGAUCCAACCGUUGAGCAACAUGCUCAUUCGCUUCAACAUGGCUAGCUUUAACAUACAGUAAGUUGCUUUUACUACAACAGUAACUUCUAACAAAUCAACUCCCUGUUUGUAAUAGUGACUACACACUGUUAGUUUGACAAACCUUAUACUAUAUCUACGUAACAAACAAACCAACCGUGGUAAGCCGGACAAGAAAUUUUCCAAGAACAAGGUACGUACUGACGUACAUGCCUGCAUAAGUUUACAAGGGGGCAAGUAUGCCUGGGGUCUUGAACUUUUUUCCUAUCUGAGUAUUGGUGUCUCAGUCUCUCAGAGGCAUACAAAAUGAAUGUUCUGUAAAGAUGCAUGUCUCACGGACAUGCUUAACCUAAUAACGAUAAAUUAGCUAUUUUGGUCUCCUAACUUUACCCAAAUUUUCAGUUGAGUCCCCAAAGUUUAAAUUGGUCAAUUUGGUCCCAAAUCUUUCCAAACAUUUAACAAUUCUCUUUUUUACAAAAUGGGUUCUAUUUUUACACAGUUUGGGUUUGUGUUCUAUUUUAAAACAAUAUGAUGUUGCGCGUGCCACUCACGUGCUCUGCUGACCUGGCAAAAAAAUAUAUUAAAAUUUGAAUUUAAAAGACCAUGUGUGAUAGUAAACUGCCAAGACAACUUUGUUAGAUGCUUGGUAACGGUGAGACCAUUUUGCAAACGUUUUGAAAGAUUUGGGACCAAAUUGAGCAGUUUAAACUUUGAGGACUUUAACUGAAAAUUUGAGCAAAGUUAGGGGACCAAAAUAACUAAUUGUUCACUUAAUAACCUUCAAAGUUGAACCAGCAACCUUGCCCUAUUCAGUGUGUAUUUAUGUGUAACAAUAAUGUAACAACAUGGAGAGAAGCCAACUUUGGAGCAGACUGUUGUUCAAAACAUGGAGGAACUAUGAGUAAAGGCUCUAUAAAGUGGUGGAACUGCAGGUCUAGUUUCCUGAAUUCCAUUGAAAGUCCAGCAACCACCUACAUACUUUAAAAGGAAACGAGGCAGGUUAAAAGCCAAACAACAUAUUGAUCAAGCAUGGGCAAACUUUUUUUUUUUUUUUUUUUUUUUUUAAAUUUGAACUUUUUCAAGAAAAUAAAAGCGUGGGAAAAAUUUAAUUUCCUUGCACAUGCAUACAAAACGUUACCCAGCUGUAGUGAGUCCGACCUUCAUGGUCCACUGAUUCUGUCCUUUACCUUUCAGAUCAAGCUCUCCGAUCCUAGCCAGUAGUUGGAUUGUUUGUAUGUAUUUGAGGUCAAUCACAUUAUCUAUUUAACUCUAUAAAUUCAGAAUAUUGAUCACUCACUCUAAACACCAACCAUAACCAAAGGAGGCUCUCAAACAUGAAGCCCUUACUACUAUCCUGCUCCCUUUUAUUUUUUCUCUUACCUGUGAUCAUGUACAUUGAGUGUGUACCUGAUUCUCACAGCGCUUCUAAGCAAGAACACGUACAUUUUGAUACAGGUGGAUUGAGUAGGGAAAGUUUCCCAAAAGAGUUUGUGUUUGGAACUUCCACAGCAGCUUAUCAAGUUGAGGGUAUGGCUAGGAAAGAAGGUCGUGGACCUAAUUUGUGGGAUAUCUUUACGAGAAUUCCUGGUAAUUUUUUCUAACGUGAGUACGUACGUGCAUAGCGUUUACCAAAAUAAACUAACAUUUAAUAAUAGUAUAUAUAUCUUGCAAACAAGAACUUUCUCUGUAGCCCUGAGCAAGGUGUUCGAUCUCCUAAGCAUCUGUCCAUCAUACAUUUUAGACAUUGUCUAUGCAAAUUCAAGAACUGUCAUUAUACCGAAAUCUCGAGAUUUAAAUAGAUCUUUAUAAUGAAUGGCCCAAUAAAUGCUUUGGGAGUACUCUAAGCGUUAUGGAGAAAAAAAUUUCUCUCAUUAAUAAACAUGAAGUCUUUAUACUGUUUUGAUGUAUUAUUUUGAUUUUGUUAUUUGUAGGGUUUAUUGCAGACAAUUCUUCAGGAGAUGUUGCGGCAGAUCAGUACAACCGUUAUGAAGUAUGAAAUUUAGGGUUUAUUCAUCCUGUGAUCAUUUUCUUGUCUUUUAGUAUCCAAUUAUUUUCUGCAAUAUUUAUGUAUACCAAACAACAAAAUUGUUAAGAGUAUAUAUAUAGGGUUUAUUAUAAGAAAUGAAUGUUGUCUUGACUGCAGCAUGAUGUGGAUAUUAUGCAAAAGUUGAACUUCGAUGCAUACCGUUUUUCAAUCUCAUGGUCCAGGAUUUUUCCAGGUAAAUUUACUCUUUAUUUAUGGAUUUUAACUUGAAUUAAUUUAAUAGCUAAUUAUAAGAAAUAUUGAUCGAUCUUCUAAUUUGAUGAAGAUGGAGUGGGCAAGGUAAACCCGAAAGGAGUUGCUUACUACAACAGACUGAUUGACUACUUGCUUCAGAAAGGUAAACUGGAAAAUAGUUAAUUUGUAUUCCAAUAAUUACCUCCGUCGUUGAUUGGUGUACUAUCUACAUCUUAAAUGGACCCUUUCUAAAAUUUCUUAACUUUAAAAACUGAUAUAAUUUCAUUUUUUUACCGCACACAGGCAUUACUCCGUAUGUCUGUCUCUUUCACCAAGACCUUCCAUAUGCACUUGAGAAGAAAUAUAAAGGACUGUUAAACCGUCAAUUUGUGUAAGUAAUUUACAGUGCCGGAUAUCUUUUGAUGUAAAUUUAUUUGCUUAUUUGCAUGAUAGGGUUAAUUCACAAGUUUCUAUGAGUAUGACUUCUUAUUCAAAUCAUGCAGGAACGAUUUUGCAGAUUAUGCAGAUUUUUGUUUCAAGACAUUUGGAGAUAGAGUUAAAACUUGGUUCACAUUCAAUGAGCUAAAAAUUUCAGCUGCUUAUGGUUAUGACACUGGUUUAUUUCCUCCUGCGAGAUGUACAAACUGUACAGCAGGCGGGAAUUCAGCAACUGAGCCUUACAUUGUGGCUCAUAAUCUUCUUUUAGCCCAUGGAGCAGCAGUUCAGAAAUAUCGUCAAAAGCAUCUGGUAAAACCAAUUUUGUACCAAAUGUAUACUUUUGUAUAUACAUAUAUAUACCUAUUUAAUUGUCUUGUUAACAGCCAACACAAAAAGGAAGGAUUGGAAUUAUCUUGGAUUUUAAUUGGUAUGAACCUUAUUCCAAUUCGACGGCUGACAAACUAGCAGCUCAAAGAGCAAGAGACUUUCAUCUUGGAUGGUAAUCAUGCUUGGAGAUUAAUAAAUCACAUACUUGAGUUAAAACAUAAUAGUGGUUUAGUAUUAAAUUGAAUGAGACUCUCUGCAGGUUUCUUCAUCCAAUCGUAUAUGGAGGGUACCCUGCUACAAUGCAAGAAAACGUUGGGAAAAGGCUUCCAAAAUUUACUGAUUCAGAGUUUAAAAUGGUUAAGGGAUCAAUGGACUUUUUGGGUAUAAACCAUUAUACUGCUUACUUUGUGCACUAUCCGCAUCAGAAACCUCCGGCAGACACAAGCUACCAGAUGGACUGGAAUGCUGUUGUUGUUAGUAAGUUUCUGUACUACCUUGUUAUGCAGAGGUGUUGCUUUGCAAUAAAACUAACAAUUUUUUACGAAUGUUCUGUACAGAUGAACGCGACGGAAAACCAGUUGGAGAUCUGGUAUGUGAAAUAAGGUGUUUUAUUACUUAAAUUUCAGAGUAAUUAAGGAUUCUCGAUCUCUUAUUUAUUUCUUCUCCAUUUAGCUCUUUGUAUGGUGUGAGACUGAGUUAAUUUGCUGUGAUCCUUUUACUAUAGUUGACAAGCUAAUCAUUUACAGGCAAAUUCUGACUGGCUUUUCAUUGUACCCUGGGGAAUGUACAAAAUAGUGACCUAUAUAAAAGAUCAUUACCAGAAUCCAACACUGAUGAUAACGGAAAAUGGUAAUAGCCACAAACCACAUCUGAAUGCAUAAGGCUUAUUGUCUUUCUUAUGACAAAUCAAUUAUAUAAUAACUAUUCAAACCUUCAUGGUUUUGCAGGCAUGGAUGAUCCUGGUAACGUAACAAUUCCAAAGGCAUUGCAUGACACCAAGAGAAUCAAUUACUACAAGAGCUACUUGAACUACCUCAAGAAAGCUAUGCAUGAUGGAGCCAAAGUAACCCAUUACUUUGCAUGGUCAUUGCUCGACAACUUCGAAUGGAGAUCAGGGUACACAUCAAGAUUUGGAAUCGUCUACGUUGACUUCAAUAGCCUCAAGAGAUACCCCAAGAUGUCUGCCUACUGGUUCAAAACAUUACUUGCUAAAAAGAAGGCUUGAAUGUUGGACGUAUAGUCCAUAUGUAAUUUCACUUUCUAGUGUGUUUAAGUUAUGGUGAUCUUGUAAUAAAUGAUAAUAAGGCUCAAGGUGGCUCGUCGGCUGGCCUGCUGUGCACUGCUCUGGGAAGGGCCAAUACUCAUCAGUGUAUCAGUGUAUAUCCCAUACUUGUUUGUACUUGUAACAUUUUGGGAAUUAAUGAAAUAUUAUUUAUUCAGUUCUAUCUAUUACAUCCGCCUCCGUACAUACGGUUGUCAAAUAAUCAAUCGAUCUUGUUGUUUCUCUAAAUACAUGGAGUAAAUUUUACAUCUAUGUACGGAGGUGGAUGUAAUAUCUGGCAAGAUCACAAUGAAUAAAUUCUACAUCUGUGUACGGAGGCGAUGUGAUAAAAUUGGGAGAUCUUAGUCACACCACACAAAUCUCUCAUGCACCACAUCUCUUUUAAUAACUCAGGAGGAGAGGUUUUUUUUUUCUGAUACCAAACUUUUACCAAAAAAAUCCAUUUCUCUUUCACUAAAAUCAAAUAUAUCUUCUCUAAUAUAAAGUGUUAUUAAGUAAUUUCAAUAUAAAUAAUUAAACUUUAUCAAGUAGUUUUUUUUGGUAAAGAACUUUAUAAAGUAGUUACCUAUAAAUUAGGAAAGUAAUAUUGCUUUUACCAAAAAACAAGGAAACUAAAUAUGAUACACGUCUCCAUUCACUUAGUUUGUUUAGCUUACCACAAAUAUUCUUAAGAUUCUUUAGACACACCACAAAUAAAAUUUAAAAAAAAAAAAAAUCUCACUACACCAUAUUUUAUUUUAUUUUUUUAGUAGUAAAAAAUAUAUAGAAAUAAAUCUAAAGAAUCUAGAAGAUAAAAAUAAAUCUAAGGGUCUGUUUGAUUCGAGCGAUAAAUUGGUUUACCGGUAAAAACAGAGAAUACGGGAUGUAAUUUAAAUUUUAAGAUUGGAGAAGAAGACACGAAGUAGAGAGAGAGAGUAAAUUCUAAAUCUGUGUACGGCGGGGGAUGUAAUAAAAUUCUACAUCUAUGUCAGAAUUUUACAUCUUUUUGUUGCCAAAUAAUUUUUUUUUUUUUUUUUACCAAAAUACAAAUUUUAUUGAUAAAAAAUGAAUUACACAAAGCUAGAGGACAAGCGCGCUACAAACUGCGCUGCAAGCCCUUCACCUGAUGGUUAUAUUACUUCAUUAAUUAGAAAAUUCUUAGAAUCCUCCCUAAGAGUAUCAUUAGAAGACCCCUACCUGUAAUUAAAAAUCAGAAUAUUUAGAGUUAUGAGAGGACUUUUGGCCUUACCUCAAUACAAGAAGGGAAUUUUAAGGGAUUCCCAGGCCUUAAAAAAAGGCCAAAAUAGCCCAAGAACCCUCCAAAAGGGCUCAAUUAAAGCAAAUAUACGUGCCUGGUGCCUUCAUCCAUAGGUGAAAAUAUCGUUCUUGCCGGUCGGAUAUUCGCGAUAUUUUCCGUUUUUUCAGAGAUCGGCACGGUACGGCAUACGGCAUAUAUUCGGAUAUUAAAACACCCCAUGCCGGUCGGCAUUUAUCGGAUAUUCGCGGCAUAAAUCGGCAAAAACCGAUAUUUAUCGAAAUUUUGGAAAUUUUCGAUUUUAAAAUUAACACAUUUAUUUUUAAUCCCCCCGAACUAGAAUUUUCGUUGAGAUUAUCAAAAAAAUGUCCAAAAGGCACUAGACGUUUGGAAACUUUCGCGACGAACUUAAUGGCCCUCCAAGAGCAAUAUAUCAGAAAGAAACGGAAAAAAAGCACGCCCAUGCCAAAGUGAAGUUCUCUCUCACUUUUGGCAAACCAGUAUACUGUUUGUAUCCAAGGUUUGUUUUUGUGUAAUGAAUAAUUGGUAUCGAAUUUGUGUAACGAAUAAUUGGUAUCCAAGGCAUGUUUCCAAACACAUGCUCAUUCCCAUGCUCAUUUUUCUUAUGGUAACAUAGGAACCUCCCAAAGUGAUGAUUCCAGUGUACCAUCCUACCAAACCCAACCAGAUGACAGUGGUUCUUGGUUUCCUAAUAUAGGGAGUUGGUUGGCCCCAAUGACAAGUGGGUCCGACGUGCAGUCAGCCGAUACAUUAAUGCCGGUUCAACAAUACUCGAGAUUUCCUAUAUUUGAAUCAUUUGCUCCGUAUUGUAUGGAUCAAGAUGCAUAUGAUAUGCAUAUUGACCAAUUCAGGUCGUACGAGCAAACAAUGUCAUGGGAAUAUUACUGUACUAAAUUCGUCCCCACACGUAUGCGACUCGAAGCUCAUCGGUUUGACAAGGGGCGUCUAUCAUUCUGGGGUUAGCAUGUCUUUUAUUUUGAUUAUUAAAAUAAAACUAUGGGUUGAGUUGUAAUAAGGUUGUUUGUGUUUAGUUCUUGUAUUGUAAACAUAUAAAAUUUCUAUGAAUAUCCGCCCGAUAUUUACGAUUUUUUCACCUAUGAGUAAAACUAUCUUGUGUAAUAGUUCCGUCUUAGCUUCCUUGUAUGAUUUGUCGUGUGUUUAAUUUGUAAUGUAUGUUUUUCUUUUAAUUAUAAGUUUAUAUAUCGAAAAAUUCAAAAAAACACGGAAAGUGCAGAAAACCUCCCAAUUUGCCGAAUUUUUCGCGAAUAUUCGCGAAUAUCCGCGAUAUUUUCCGGUUUUUUCGAAUUUGCCAAACCUCAAAAAUCCGACACAGGAGGUCGGAUAUCCGCGAUAUUUUCCGUUUUUUCACAGGUCGGAUAUCCGCCCUCAAACGAUAUUUUCACCUAUGCCUUCAUCAAUAGGUGGUUCAUGGUUGGGAGGUGUUGUGCUGCUCAAGAAGAAAAAAACAAAAUGCUGGCUUGAUUGUAGUUGAGCUCAAGGAAAAUUCAAAAUAAUGGCUUCUUCUUCUGUGAUUUUUUAUAGCGAUUCCUCCAACGAAACUACUGUUCGAAGAUUGAUGUGGUACGACUUGUAAACCCCAAAUAGUGCAAUAAUCCUCAAAUAGUGUAAUAAUAUAAUAAACAAUAAUGGAAGUAAACUAGCUAUGAAAAACAAUAAAGAACACAUUUUUUUUAUGUGUUAAAACCCAAUUAUUGGGAAACAUCCACGACCGUCCUUACAAUGAUAAAUAAUCCAUUGUAUGAAAUAGAAAACCACGUAACGUAGUCUCACACUAUUAGGACUUGUGAAGCCUGUCAAACUGCAUCUACAACCUGUAGAAGGAAAAAGCUUUUAGGUCACAAAGAGUUGAUACUAAUUAAAAAGCAGGCUAAGAACAAAAUGAAGAAAUAGGGGCCGAAGAUGUUCAUCGUAAGGAUUCUACCAUAAUCUGGCCUAGUUACAAGUAUGUUCUUAAAGUUACUCACCUCUCAACUAUUGCAACUUGUCCUAACUCACCUCUUAGGUAUAUUGUUGGGGUUGACAAUGAAACCGGCACGAAGUGGUUUGACAUCAAUUUUGUGACAUUGGUCGUCCUUGGUUAUUUCGCCUUGAGUUCAUUGUUACGAAAACCUUGUUGUACGCGCGUCGUCCCGUGUCCUUGUCUUCGCGUCGUGUGUCUCAAGUAUGGUGUUUGGUUCAGGACGUACGUACCUCUUCAGGACGUACGUACGUAUGGUAUGUCAGCAGAAAGUUUGUUUGGUCUGGACGUACGUACCUUCUUAGGACGUUCGUACGUCCAAGUAGUCAGCAGGUUUAUGUCGGUUUGAGACGUACGAACGUCAUAUCGACGUACGUACGUCCAAUGUGGUUUUUCACUAUUUCGGCCCAUUUUAUGUGCUUUCCAACCCUAAGUAUAAAUAGGGUUUCUCUUCCAAAGAAGAAGUUAGUUCUUUGGCCGUCCAUUCUUCUUCUAGUUCAUGAGUUUUGGUUUAGGUUUUGGUGUUGAAAGUGUUUGUGGUUAUUGAACUCAAUUCUCUUCCUUCCCCCUUCUCUCAAUUCAUCAAUCUGUGAUCUUCCAAAGUUUAUUGUGAUUUCGGCUUCGAGUCUUCUUGUGUGUUCAUCAAGAAGUCGAGUGUCUUGUGCGUACAUCAAGGUGCUCUGGUGAAGUCAAGGUGUUAGAGAUAACCGGGAGUAUCAACUCGCAGUGAGUGCAGGUAGUUGGUAGGUUUGUACAUCUCUGUUCAUCUAGUGGAUUAUUUGUUGUCACGAGGACAACCGUGGACGUUUUCCUUUUUGGGUUUUAUAACCACGUUAAAAAUUUCUGUGUGUUAUUUACUUUCUGCGUAUUGUUUGAAUAUUCAUUUGUUAUAUUAGCACUAUUUAUAGUUUCUCAGACAACACUCACCUCUCAGGUCUUGUUGAUUAUCUCUUUUAUUUGAGAUGCAUGGAUUAGUGUCAUUUAGGGCCACUAAAAUCUCAUAUGCGGCACUCCUGAUAAAGAAAAGGGGAUGCAAUUGAAUAAUAAUAAAAUUAUCACUUUAUCAAAUUCACGUACAUAUAUUUUUAGUAGGAUUAUGUAAAAAUUAAAUUAAAAUAAAAGAUGGUAGCUCACUACAAACAUUAUUAGGGUUUCAAUACAGACAUGAUCAUAUGCGGGAUAUUCUGUACGAUGUCUUUUGGCGGGUAGGGGGGCAGGUGAAAACGGAAGCUCCGAUCAACUUCCUUACUAAUCCUAAGAAAGGUAGAUCUGCAUGCAGCUCACUGCAAACAUUACCAAUGUUUCAAAUACAAACAUGAUUAUAUGCGGGAUAUUCUGUUCGAUGUCUUUUUACGACAACAGUGCAUGUAAAAGAAAAAAGCUCAAUUCAACUUCCUUACUGAUCCUAAGAAGGUAGAUCAAAGUUGCAUUACAAUUGGUCUGAAGGCAGAGACACUUGUAUUGACAUUACAGGGGCAUUGCUGAUGGUAGGGUUCGGGAAUGAGAUCUUUGAGGUAGGUUAUGCAACUAAUAAUGCAGUCACAACUAAUGGCAGUGGUUCUGGAGGUCUACUUAGAGAUAGCGAAGGGGAAGUUAAUUAUAUGCACUUUUGUGGACAAGGACACUUCUACUUCAGUGUUUCAACAGGAGUUAAAAUGCAGUUCACAAAAGUAUUCAGUUGGCAAAAGAUCAAGGAUUUUAGAUUUACUAAGAUCGAGGUAACUUCAGAUUCCUUAAGUCAGGAAGAUAAGAGAGAUCGCAGAUUGGUGGUUAUGACUUAUGAGGAGGUCAGAUUCUACCAUGCCUAUAGGGAGACAAAUAGAGCUGCUGAUUAUUUGGCUGGGAAGGGAGUGGACAUGUACUCAGAUGGCUUACAUUUUAUUACUCCUUUCACAGAUGUUCUUUGCAGUAAUCUGAAUGAUGAUAAAAACAACAAGGUGUACAUGAGAUUUAAUCAAUACAGCUGGUGAGGGUCUGCCUACAACUAGCUCAACUUUUAUCAAAAAAAAAAAAAUAAGCUAGCAAAAAUUAUAGUGGUACAACAUCACUUAAAUUAUUAUAUCAUUGAAAUUGCAUAUAUUCAUCGAAGUUCUUUAGAGGUAAAGUUUCAUUUAUUUAACUAAAAGAUAUCGAUAACAUCACGUCACGUGUUAACAAAAAUAUAACUUAUGUAUAAUGUAGUUAAUCCUAGUGGGUUUGAAUUAAUUACCCAACUAAUUCUUAAAUACGUGGCAUGUUGUGAUUGGGACCACACGAACCACAUACUAGAGAAAACAUAUCCAAAAAAAUUUAUUUUCGAUUAAAAAAAUAGCCAAAAAAAGUAGUAUAAUAACUUUCAAAUGUUAGGUCAUAAUCUCCAUUCCGGACCAUAUUUAUUUGUGGUUAGUACUUAAAGGCUUGUGCAUAUUGUGUUCCUCGGACACAUGCAUGUUUAAAAUAUGACCUAGCAGAUUCUUUUUAAUAUGUGCUAUAAUUCAAAGAUUUUAUUUAUUUAAAACAUGUUGAUCAGUCUAUUUCAAUAAUAACCAUGCGAAAUGUAACAGGCUGUGCGUGACCCCAAAAUAAAACAUUAUUGCAUUCAAUUGCGCAUUCAAAGACUGAGAUUCACGUGAAAUUUAUGGACCAUUUUGCAGGGCAACAGUAGUUCCUUUUCAUAUUGAGCUGUAAGUGUUUGGAUUAUAUAUAGUUGAGUCCAUAACAAAAAAUAAACAAGAAAGAUUUGCCAUGCCAACCAUUAUCAUUGUUGUUCUUGAUGGGUGGUUUUCUCCAGUCUGUUUCAAACAAUCAAUAAUAGUUUAUCCGAAACGCGGCAACACAUCAUUGUUAGGUUCACUGAACCCCCCCCCCCCCCCAUUAUUUAUAAAGGUCGUAAUCGUUAAGUUCACCCCACCAAAAAUAAUAAUUUUUAGAACACCAAUUUUUAUGAGCCACCCAUCAAGCCAUUAAGUCCCCUGCCUAUGUAGCUUGACCCUUUUUUUGUUAUUUGUCAUCUAUGAGAGAUUAUCCUUUGCCCUUUGAAAGCAUAUAUUAUUGGUAAUAUUUGAGGAGAGAUUUUAUUGCCACCCAAGAAACUCGUUAAAAACCCAAAUAUAAAAAAUUUGUCAAAAACCUAAUGAUAAAAUAUUAUUUAUACUCUUCUAAUUAAUAUUUUGUUUUUGAUAAAAGCCUAAUAUAAUUUUUUUUUUAAAUCGUAAUUAAAAUAUGAAUAAGACUAAUGUAUGUAACUACGAGAGAUUAUCCUUUGGAAGCAUAUAUUAUUGGUAAUAUUUGAGGUAGCUAGGAAUUUAUUUUUGUUUGUGCACAUAUAUGUGAAACCGGCAUUCGGUUGUUUGACAUCAUUUUGUGACUAGGUUAGGAGUGUAUGAGGUUAUCUCGCCUUGACGUCAUUAUUAGGAUGUACCUUGAUAUGUGAGCGUCGUCCCGUGUCUUCUUACUCUUGUUCAAUGUCUGUCAAGUUGUUGUUUAUUCCAGGACGUACGUACGUAGAAUUGGACAAAAGUUUUCCUUUGUGUUAGGACGUACUACCUAGUUAGGACGUACGUACGUUGAGUUCAACAGAUCUUCUUUUGGUUCAGGGACGUACGUACCUAGUUAGGGCGUACGUACGUCGUCGUAUGGAUUUCUUGUUUUCGGCCCAUUUUCUCUCUUUUCCAUAACCCUAAGUAUAAAUAUGUUUUCAACCAAAGAAGAAAGCAGUUCUUUGGCCGUCCAAUUCAUCUCUGGUCUUGGAGUUUGUUUAGGUUUUAGUUUAGGUUGUUUUGGUGAUUGAACUCAUUCUCUUCUUCCCCAUUCAUCUUCUUCUUCUUCCUCCUUAUUGAAUAUUGAGAUCCGCUUCGAGUCUUCUUGUGUGUUCAUCAAGAAGUCGAGUAUCCUUGUGUGUUCAUCAAAGAACUCUAAUGUAAGCUUGCUUCAUAGUUCGGCUUCGAGUCUUCUUGUGUGUUCAUCAAGAAGUCGAGUGUCUUGUGCGUACAUCAAGGUACUCUGGUGAAGUCAAGGUGUUAGAGAUAACCAGUAGUGUCAACUCGCAGUGAUUGCAGGUAGUUGAUAGGUUUGUACAUCUCUUUUCAUCUAGUGGAUUUAUUUGUUGUCGCGAGGACAACCAUGGACGUUUUCCAUAUUGGGUUUUACCACGUUAAAAAUAUCGUGUGUUCUGUACUUCUUUAUUGUUUUAUUCUUGUUUGUUUUAGUAUCAUAUUGCACAUAUUGGGUUUUCAAUAUAUGUGUGGUAGGGAGAACCAGAUCCAUAGGAAUUCCUUUUGGUCCAGGAAGAACUCAUUUUGAUAUAUUAUCAAAAUGUUUAACCCGUCGAUAAACUUCUUAUAUUUAAAUGCUAACAAUGAUUUUGAUUGGUAUGAGUUUAUGAGAAAUGCCAUUUUUUCGUUAAUAUAGUUUUUUUCGGAAUAGUUAUCAAAGAGCCCACUGGGAAUGAAUGGGAAGAUAGAAAAUUGGAAAGUACCAAACCCACCAUAACCACGAAGAAUUGAAUUAUUGGAUCGAUCCAACAACCUAUCUCUCUCUCUCUCUCUUCAAUUUGAUAAAGAACUAUCUAGACUAGUAAAGACUUGAUAGGUAUUUCAAGUUGUAGACUUGUACACCAGUGAAUAAAAGCUUACAUUUAUCAAAAAGAAGAUUUAAAAAAAAAAACCCAAAACAAAGAAAGAAAAAAUUCCACGUCUAUAAAAUUACCAAAAGUACUUGUACAAAUUCUACUGGGAUUAACAAACACCCAUACGUAAAAGUGUUUUAUUGAUCCCACAAAUCCCACACCAAAUAGGUAACCACCUCAAGCUUCACCUACAGCCUUAUAAAUCUUAUCUUAUUAGAGGAUUGCAUUCCUGCAUGUGAUCAUACCUUGUAUUGAAAUAUUUGGCCUAGCGUAUGACCGUGGAUAAUACUAAAUAGUUUGGUUGAGGUUAUCGAUAAUGCAAGCACCAUAAGUGGUCUUAGUGUAGGACCGUGCUGUAUGCAUGACUAUAGCUCAUAUAGUUCAUAUUCGGAUAUUCCUUUCAUCCCAAAUUGGUUGUCAUGUAUAUGUUUUUGGCUUUCCCAAAUUGAUUGUCACUUUUAUAUUUGUUUAGAUGCUCAUUCUUAAAAUUAAUUAAUUAUUCACGUAUGGGUGAAUAAUUUGGGUAUCAAGUGAUGGAUAGAUCCCCUCUAUAUAUAUUAUUGACACCUUGCAGUACAUUAAAUGAGGGUAAAAUUGAUAAAAAAAACAACGUACUUUACACUAUUUUUCACUUAAUACAACGUACAAAAAAACUGACCAAAUGAUGUUUGAACUUUUAAAAAAGUUCCACGUUAUACGUACAAUAUGUUAAAUUCUUGCUAACGGUUGAUUGACGUGGACAAUUUUUAUCUACAUGGCAUGUGAGAAAAAUAAAAAAUAAAAUUUAAAAAUCCGACACGACAAUUGAAUGCAUGUGCUUCUCAUAUGACCUUAAUAUUUUUUUCAUUGUAAGACUAAUUUUUCAAAUUGAAACCAAAACCCCCAAUUUCAAACUUAAAAACCCUAAAUUAAAAAUUUCUCAAAUUUAACUCAAUGUCUUUAUCUUCUAAUGUUAAUUGUUGUUGUUCACAUAAAUUUGGAUCUUCUUCUUCUUCAUUGAAAUGUACGUAUUAGAUGUACUUUUUAUUUGUCAAUAUAAAGUUAAUUGAGCAAAUCAAAGACCAAUUGAAAUAAAAUAACUUCUUUAAACAAUCAACUAUGGGUAUUGUUCAUAAUUCAAAAUUUAGAAAUGGUUACAAUAAUAACAACAAUCUUUAUUGGAUUGAAAAAAUCGAUAUUUUUUUUUCUUUGGUUUUAAGAAAAUUGAAGUGUGGGGUUAUUUGAAAUCUCAUAUGUAGAAAUCGAAAAGUGUUUAAUGAUUGAAACACGUUAAUGAAGUUGUUAGAACCCAUAAUCUUUUAUGAAUAAUAAAUAAUAAUAAUAAUAGAGAACUAAAGAGAGAAGAAAUUGAGUAGUUUGUCAUUUUUGAAUUUGUUUAAGGAUAUUUUGCAAGAAUAUGUUUGUAAAUUGAGAAGAUAGUAAUUGUCACAUGAGACACACGUACAAUUUUUUGUUGUGUCAAAAAUUAUUUUUUUAGUUUUUUUUAAUUAAAUAAAACUAUAUAGAUAAAUUUUUACAACUACACUACACAACCUUGUUUGAAAGAUGCCUACCAUGCACAGUUGCACACACUACACAACCUUGUUUGAAAGAUGCCUGCCAUGCCAGACAUGUAUGUAUAGCAAAUGUUAGGAUUUUGGACAUAUUAUUAUUACCAAAAUGCUUUCAGAGGGACAUACAGGUUUACAUGCAUAUUUUAUUUUAUUUUGAAUAAGUUACUAGUGAAUCUAAUUUUUACAGAGGGUUGGGUAUCCAAGCCAGACUAAAAUUCAAGAACAAUAAUUAAAUAUACCUCUCAUAUGUUUAGAUGGGUGUUUCUAUUAAUUCAGGAUAUAUCAGGUAUUUUUUAAAAGAAACCACCACAUACUCCACCACCCGCUAUUCUGGAACAGCCCUAGCUAGUUGCCAAAAUAAAACUUCCAUUUUUUUUCUUUUAUUUCUACUUCUCUUUAAUUCUAUCUUUAUAUUAUUUCUUCAUCUUUCUUCUUACUUAUCUUUUAUUAAACUCAAUUCUUUUCGGUAUAUAGAGUUUAUAUCUAUUAUAAUUCACCUCCAUUGUAGAUGCCAGCUGAGCCCGACCAGAUGAUAAUACCUGGCGAUAUACCAGAGGUCUGUGCCUUGUGGUUCGAUAUUAGGCGCGCAGUACAUCUUUGAGUUAAUGAUUUCGUUAAAAACAAGUUAUUUUUCAAUUAGAAGCGGUUGAGCUCCUCAGGAGGGUAUAAAAAAUAAUAGAUAGUAAUUUUUUUUUUUGUUUUGUUCUUUUGCUUAAGUGUGAUUAAUAUUAAUAAUAAAAAAAAAUACAAGAAGAAGGAAGAAAAAAAAAAUUUAGCACCAUGGGAAGAUGGUUUAUAAGCACCAUGCCCCUUCCAAUAAUAGAUAACAAUGUCACAACUUCUUGGUCGAAUGAAUAUGUUUUUACAAGGAUUAAUUUUGCUAUUCAGAAAGAACUUGUAGCGCCGCUUACCCUCUACCUUUAUGUAAUUCUUUGAGAUUAUCAAUAAAGUGAAAUAUUUGGUAUAACAAAAAAAAAAAAAAAAUUCACCUCAAUUGAACUAUAAAUUUUACAAUUUUGUUAUGAUUCCUAAUAACCAAUUUAUUAUUAGUUUCCCUAGGAUUAUUAGGUUAAUUUUCUAGCUUAAAAGUAACUUUCUUUUUAUUGGCAAGCGGGGUUGACGGGACCCCCUACCCAGGGGCAGAUCCAGGGUGGGCUUGGGUAUGCCGAAGCUCGCCCCAAUUUUUUUUUUAAUUUUUUUAAUAAAUAGCAAUAGUAAAUUAAAAAUCCAAAUAUACUGCGCAUAAUUUAGUAACUAAAGUACAAAAUAUUCUAAAUAAGCACCAAAAUACAUUCUUAAUUCAUUUAAAGAUCCCAAACAAUAGAUAUCUCACAAAACAUGAAAAUAAUAAAUCCAUAUUACCAUACAUAAAAGAUUGAUUUAAAUAUGGAGAUCUUAGUCAGACCACAUACAUAAAUCUCUCAUACACCACAUUUUUAGAUAAAUUUUGAAUAAUUGUGUUUUUACGAAUUUAUCUAGCAAAUAAAAUCUUGAAAAGAAACAAACAAUGUGGUGUAUGAGAGAUUUGUGUGGUGUGACUAAGAUCUCCGUUUAAAUAUAUUGAUUUUUUGAGUUAAUUUUUGCAAGAGUACACUUCAAUGAAAAAUGUGCAAUAUUAACAUCGAUGAUCACUAUUUAAUUUUUUUGGCAAUGCAUAUCAAUAUUAAUAUUACACAAACUAGUGUUUAAUAUAUUCAACCAAAUAUUGAAAAAUGUGCAAUUUUCAACUUUCGAUAGGGAAGAGUUUAUGUUAUGAAUUAACAAUUGUGUGAGGCUUUUUCUUCAACAAGAUCAGCGAUUGUUUUUUUGAAGUAAUAACUUAUUAAUUUAUUGUGUGAGGCUUUUAUACAACCCAAAUUGAUUAAUUAAUAACUUAUUAAUUUAUUGAUUAAUUAAUAUCUUAUUUAAUUAAUAAUUUUUUUUAAUCUCUAAACUACUAAUUUAUCGAGGUUUUACUGUAUAGGAUCGAUCCGGCCAUUUUUUUUUUUUUUUGCUUAAUAAGAAAGAAUAUAUUAAAAGAAUGACCUAGCUGCAGUGUGGCAUCCGUACUAGGUAGCACUCCAACUGAACCAGGCACCAUGAUUGCACUCAAGAGAAUCUAAUAAAGUAACUCACAUGGGGCUCCUCCACUUUAUAAAGUAGUAGAAGGCCUUGCCAUCACAUAUACAACGUCGGUUGCUAAAUCAAUCUUGACACCCUCGUUAAGUUCGCGUCAUCUAGAAGUAAUAUAUAAACGUAAGAUUUAUGUACGUCUUACCACAUGAUAAUACAAUUUAAUAAUAUAAUGACCACAUAACUUAAACUUUCAAGUUGAACCAAUCUUGCCCUAUUCAGUGUGUAUUUGCAUGUGGUGAAUGAUUCAUGGGACAUGUUUAACAAAGUUUAGCCCUUCUGGGGCCUUUCUAAUUUUGUAUAUAUACAAUAUAAGAACAAUUUUUUUUUUUUUUUUUUAAUUCAAAUUUUAUUGAUAAGCUCAACGAAUUACACAAAAGUUGAGGACAAACGCGCUACAAACUGCGCGGCAAGUCCUUUCUGGAUAACAAACUCGAUUCUCCUAAAUACAUAUUCGUUCGAACCUGCAGUCAUCACGUUGCUAUCCAUUAUCUUCUGCACUCUCCUGAGGAGCUCAACUGCUUCUGAGCCUAGCAAUUCAAAUGUGUCAAAUGCAAAGGGGAUGAAACUAUGUUGGUUAGCCCUACAAGCUCCGUCAUGUUUCUCCACUUUUGCCGCUGCUGCAUUGCUAGCUGCUAGCCCCACCUCAAAAAUCCCAGCACUCAGCCCAACCAUCGGAGACGCCCCUGUAACAUCAACACACGCAUUACCUUCAUACCAGUUGUAGACCAGAAUAUCAGCAGGACGCAAUGUCGAUCUUCCUUCCUUAGGAUCAGUAAGAAAGUUAACAGGAGCCUCCUUCUUAACCUGUACGCCAGCCCGCCAGAACACAUCACACAAGAUAUCUCUAACGUGGUCAUGCCUGUACUUGAAGCCGGGGUAAUGCUUACAAUGGGCCGCAUGGUCCCCGAAAGCAUCAAGUCUACUCUUUUUUUUUUUUUUUUUUGUGGAAUGUGCAUUAUUUUUACGAAAAUUCAAAGCUUGUAAUGGACUGUGUAUGGCUUGAAAUCUUGAUCAGAAUAGGAUCCAAGUAGGGGUGGGCAAAAAAACCGGAAAACCGAAUUAAAAUCGGAACCGAACUGGGUCAAAACCAGUCAAAACUGCGUUGACCAGGAACCGGUCAAAUCGAACUGGAACUGGAACCGAACUGAGUAUAUACAGUCCAGUUCUAGUUCCUAUUCUAAUAUUUCGGCUCGAACCGAACCGAACCAAAAAUAUAUAUAUUAAUAUAUAUAUAUAUUUUUUAAUUUUUUUUAUUUAUAUAUAACGUUAUAUAUGUUUUUUAUUAUUUUUUUUUUAUAAAUGUUAGAUUAUAUUAAAUAUUCAUUAGAUUACAAAAAAAAAAAAAAAACGAAGUUAUUAAAGCCCAAAAGACAAAAGCCCAAACCAAAAACCGAACCGAAAGUCCAGUCCAAUUUUAAUAAUAUUUUUCGGUUUUUGAAACCGAACCGAACUAGCUUGCACAGUUCGGUUUCAGUUUAGUGGUAAAAUGAAAUCGAACCGAGCCGUGCCCACCCCUAGAUCCAAGUGAAAGUUCUUUCUAAAUUUGUAUAUAUAUACUAUAUAGGAUUGAUCCAGCUUGCCCUAUUCAAUGUGUAGUUGUGGACUUGUGGUGUGUAUGAUGGGACAUGUUUAACAAUGUUAAUUUAGCCCACCCUUAUCAAUAAAACGUCUUUAAUUUCCACAUGAUAUGCAUGUUUCUCACUUGCAUGUAAAAACAGACACAAGUUUAAUUAGCCCUAUAACCUAUUCAUCAGUGUGUGUAUUUAUGGUGAAUGAUUGGACAUGUUUAAACAAAGUUUAGCCCUAACUAGCCUUUAUCGAUAAACGUAUUUCCACAUGAUAUGCAUGCUUAGCUCACUACUUGAUGUAAUUAACGCUCACAAUUAAUUAAUAGGUGUAACAAUGUACUUAAGGAAGGCCGGUGACUACUAUUAGUCAUUUAGUCAGGUUAAAAGCCAAACAACAUAAUCAUCAAGCAUGGGCAAACUUUUUUUUUUUAACUUUUUCAAAAAAAUAAAAACAUGGGUAAAAUUUUUUAUUUCAAUGCAAAUACAAAAUGUUACCCAGCUGUAGUGAGUUUGACAUUCAUGGUCCACUGAUUCUGUCCUAUGCCUUUCAGAUCGAGCUCUUCUGGCCAGUACUUGGAUUACUUGUAUUAUUUAGAGGUCGGUUCACAGUAUCUAUUUAACUCUAUAAAUUCAGAAUAUUGAUCACUCACUCUAAACACCAAGCAACCAAAGGAAGCUCUCAAACAUGAAGCCCUUACUACUACCCUGCUCCCUUUUAAUUUUUCUCUUACCUGUGAUCAUCUACGUUGAGUGUGUACCUGAUUCCCAUAGCGCUUCUAAGCAAGAACAUGUUCAUUUCGAUACAGGUGGGUUGAGCAGAGAUAGUUUUCCAAAAGGGUUUGUGUUUGGAACUUCAACAGCAGCUUAUCAAGUUGAGGGUAUGGCUAGGAAAGAAGGUCGUGGACCUUGCAUGUGGGAUAUCUUUACUAAAAUUCCUGGUAAAAUUUUCUAACGGGAGUAGAGUAUAUCAGUAGAGUAUAGUGUUCUAAUUCUCAGGUCCUUUGGUAUGGAAUGAGGAAAGCAUGUACUAUGUAAUGACUGCUCUGGUGCACCCAAGAACUUAAUUUUUCAAUAGUCCUGGGCAAGGUGUUCUCCUAAGCAUCUAAGGACCAUACAUUUUAAACAUCUAUGCAAAUUUAAAGAACUAUCAUUAUACCAAAAUCUCGAGAUUUCUAUAUCUCUUUAUAAUAAUGUAUGACGAAUAAAUGCUUCGGGAGUGCUCUUAAAGCAUUAUGGAGCAAAAAACAAUCUCUCGUUAUUUUCCCUUUUGAAAAAAAAAUUAAAUAAAUGAUUAUUAUAAAUUGUUUUGAUGUGAUAUUUUGAUUUUGUUAUUUGUAGGGUUUAUUGCAGACAAUUCUUCAGGAGAUGUUGCGGUGGAUCAAUACAAUCGUUAUGAAGUAUGAAAUUUAGGAUUUAUCUUCCUGUUAUCUUCUUGUCUUUUAAUAUCCAACUAUUUUCUGCAUAUAUAUUUAUGUCUACUAAACAACAUUUUAAAAAAUCGUAUAUGUAUUUUUUUUUUUUUUUGACUGCAGCAUGAUGUGGACAUUAUGCAAAAGUUGAACUUCGAUGCAUACCGGUUUUCAAUCUCAUGGUCCAGGAUUUUUCCAAGUAAAUUUAAUAACUUGGAAUUAUGGAUUUGAACUUGAAUUAAUUUAAAAGCUAGUAAGAAAUUAAUAUUGAUCUUAUAAAAUAUCUAAUUUGAUGAAGAUGGAGCGGGCGAGGUAAACUGGAAAGGAGUUGCUUAUUACCACAGACUGAUUAACUACUUGCAUCUCAAAGGUAAACUGAAAAAUAUUUUGUAUUCCAUUAAUUACCUCCAUCCAUGAUUGGUUUACUAUGUACAUCUAAAAUGGACCCUUCCUAAAAUUACUGAAUUUUUUACCACAUACAGGCAUAACUCCGUAUGCCUGUCUCGUUCACCAAGACCUUCCAUAUGAACUUCACAAGAAAUACAAAGGGUAUUUAGACCGUCAAAUCGUGUAAGUAAUUUACAGUACAGGAUAUCAAUGUAAUCUAAUUUUCUUAGUUUGCAUGAUAGUGUUGAGUAUGACUAGCUUCUUAUCCAAAUCAUGCAGGAAAGAUUAUGCACAUUUUGCAGAUUUUUGCUUCAAGACAUUUGGCGAUAAAGUUAAAAAUUGGUUCACAUUCAAUGAGCCUAGAAAUACAGCUGUUCUGGGUUAUGACGAUGGUUCGUUUCCUCCUGCAAGAUGUUCAAAACCAUAUGGAGACUGUUCAGAAGGGAAUUCAUCAACUGAGCCUUACAUUGUGACCCAUAAUAUUAUUUUAUCCCAUGCAACAGCAGUUCAGAUAUACCGUCAAAAGUAUCUGGUAAAGCCGAUUUUGUACCGUAUGAAUACUUUUGAUUGGCCAUUAUAUAUAUAUAUAUAUAUCUAAUUGUUUUGUUAACAGGCAACACAAAAAGGACGGAUUGGAAUUAUCUUGGAUUUUAAUUGGUAUGAACCUCUUACGGAUUCGGUGGCUGACAAUCUAGCAGCUCAAAGAGCAAGAGACUUUAAUGUUGGAUGGUAAUUAAAGAGAUUAGUAAAUCACACAGUACACUUGAGUUAAAACAUAAUAGUGACUCGAUCAGUAUUAAAUUGAAUGAUUGAAUCACUUGACUAUUGCAGGUAUCUUCAUCCAAUUGUAUAUGGAGAGUACCCUAAAAGUAUGCAAGAAAACGUUGGGGAUAGGCUUCCAAAAUUUACUGAACUAGAGGUUAAAAUGGUUAAGGGAUCGAUGGAUAUGGUAGGUAUAAACCAGUAUACUGGUUACUAUGUGAAAGAUGAUCAGAAAGUUCCAGCAGUAAAAAGCUUCCAGAAGGACUGGAAAGCUGAAAUUGUUUGUAAGUUUCUCUACUACCUUGGAACGCAGAUCAUGUGUACAUUACAAUCAUUGUUUAAAAUUAUUUGUGUUGCUUUACGAUAAAACUUAUAACAUUUUUUAACGAAUGUGCUUUACAGAUGAACGCCACAAAAUACCAAUUGGAAAUUUGGUAAGUGAAAUAAGGUGUUUACUUAAAUUUCUGAGGAACUAUGGUGUAAGCUAGAAUGAGUUAAAUUACUAUGUAUAUGCAUACAAUUUUUUCAGUAUAGUUGACAGGCUAAGUAUUUGCAGGCAAACUCUAACUGGCUUUACAUUACUCCCUGGGCAAUGUACAAAGUAGUGACCUAUAUAAAAGAGCAUUACCAGAAUCCAACAAUAUUGAUAUCCGAAAAU
rnacentral:lncRNA from 1 species